rnacentral:rRNA from 1 species
AUUGAACGCUGGCGGCAGGCCUAACACAUGCAAGUCGAGCGCGAAAGGCUUUCGGGCUGAGUAGAGCGGCGGACGGGUGAGUAACGCGUAGGAAUCUACCUGGUAGUGGGGGACAACUUGGGGAAACUCAAGCUAAUACCGCAUACGCCCUAUGGGGGAAAGCGGGGGACCUUCGGGCCUCGCGCUAUCAGAUGAGCCUGCGUAGGAUUAGCUAGUUGGUGAGGUAAAGGCUCACCAAGGCGACGAUCCUUAGCUGGUCUGAGAGGAUGAUCAGCCACACUGGGACUGAGACACGGCCCAGACUCCUACGGGAGGCAG